GGUUGACCUCGGAUCAGGUAGGGAUACCCGCUGAACUUAAGCAUAUCAAUAAGCGGAGGAAGUGAGGGCCUCUGGG
rnacentral:rRNA from 1 species